rnacentral:lncRNA from 10 species
GUAAGUGUUACGUCAUGACAGAGGCUUCUGUGAGAGCUGAAUUGUGUGCUUUCCAAAAUUCAUAUGUUGACACUGUCACCCCAGCACCAAAGAAUGUGACUACAUUGGGAGAUAGCUUCAUCAAAGAGUCAAGGAAGUUGCCACCUUUUGGUGCUCACUGGGCUGCUGUGGAUGUCUAACCUCAUUGCCAGCCACACAGAACCUGAAGCAGGGAUCGUUGCACCACUUAAUGUGAGACGCAGAGAAGAGUUGGGGAAUCCUGUUGGACCAGGAGGAGGAAUAAUAUUAGUUGGACCAAAUGGUAGAACAGGACCUGUGUGCUCAACCUUUCUUGGGAAUUCCAUUCCUCUUUGAGGCAGGCAUGGAAUCCCAGUGAACAUCCUGCACUCUCAGUGUCCAGCUGUCUGAGGCAACAGUUGUUUCUGAUGAUAGAGAACAAUUGCUUUUUUUUCUGAGAAGACUUCCAUGGCUGAGGGAGUCAUCAAACAGCUGGAACCUUGCAUGGGUAGACUUCUGCUGCUUCUCUGUGAUCUGAUGACCAGCGUGAGACUCAAGCUUCUAUGUGUACAAGUUUUGUGCCUUAAGGUUUUACAUUUGCAUCUAGAAUUGGAUUUAAGUUAAUUUUUGUUUCUGGUGUGAAAUAUGGAUCAAUGUCUCUUUUACUUCAACCAGAGAAAGCCGAUUUAAAAAAAAAAUAAAAUUGUCUCUUGU